UCGCCGUACUCCGAAUGCACUAGGAUUUAGUUGAUCAUGGCUCAGAGNCAACGCUGUACGGUAGGCCUAACACAUGCAAGUCGAACGGCAGCACAGGAGAGCUUGCUCUCUGGGUGGCGAGUGGCGGACGGGUGAGGAAUACAUCGGAAUCUACUCUGUCGUGGGGGAUAACGUAGGGAAACUUACGCUAAUACCGCAUACGACCUACGGGUGAAAGCAGGGGAUCUUCGGACCUUGCGCGAUUGAAUGAGCCGAUGUCGGAUUAGCUAGUUGGCGGGGUAAAGGCCCACCAAGGGCGACGAUCCGUAGCUGGUCUGAGAGGAUGAUCAGCCACACUGGAACUGAGACACGGUCCAGACUCCUACGGGAGGCAGCAGUGGGGAAUAUUGGACAAUGGGCGCAAGCCUGAUCCAGCCAUACCGCGUGGGUGAAGAAGGCCUUCGGGUUGUAAAGCCCUUUUGUGGGAAAGAAAUCCAGCUGGCUAAUACCUGGGUUGGGAUGACGGUACCCAAAGAAUAAGCACCGGCUAACUUCGUGCCAGCAGCCGCGGUUAUACGAAGGGUGCAGCGUACCAAUACUGGGUA
rnacentral:rRNA from 1 species